GUAGGUGAGACAACAAUAGGUCACAGUGCUCCAUGCAUCCAGUGUGUUUCACGCCUGCAAUUGGUUUACAUAUAAGAAAGGUUUUUGUGUGUCAAUGAGGAUGCUAUCUAACAAGAAUUUUAAUUCUAAGAUUUUCUCUCCUUUGCGAUGAAAAUUUUUAUUCUCCUUUUGACAUACACCAGACCCACCUAAGAAGACCUGCCUGCCAAGAGACAAAAUGGCACAUGAGGAAAUACAUCUUACAGACAAGAGAGACUCUGGAAUCUGAAACAGUAAACACAGUUACUGAGCUCCACAGAUCAGGUGGUGCUCUGGAAAAUUUAUCUCGACUAUGGAGGAGACCAGGUUAUUCUACCAUUAAGAUGAAGAAACUGUCAAAAAGGGAUGGGGUGUGGACAACAAUUUUAAAAGGACUGAAUACAUAGUGAGUCAAAUCCUUAUUUGUAAGUGCUAAGCAUGCAAAAGCUCUUUCCCUUCGAUGGGCCAGUCUUUCAGUUUCACAUUUUUUAAACAUAUUUCAAGUUCUUUCCAUUGUAUUGAGGGAGAACCUUGUCAACUUUGAUAAGUUCUUGUCAACAUACAAACCAAAUAAAAUCCUUAACCAUCCCUAUGUGUCAACGGGUGCCUCAAAUUCCAGUGCCUUUUGGCUUUCUUCCUUUCAGAGAAAAAGAAUGAUGUAUGGCAGUGGUUCUCAACCUGUGGGUCCCCAAGUGUUUUGGCCUACAACUUCCAGAAAUCCCAGGCAAUUUACCAGCUGUUAGGAGUUCUGGGAGUUGAAGGCCAAAACAUCUGGGGACCCGCAGGUUGAGAACCACGACGCAUGGCUUCCUCAUUUCACUUAUCAUCAUAGCCCUAUUAAACUGAGUAAUAGUGACCCAUUUCAUAUAGUACAGUGGUUUCCAACCUUUUUUGACCAGAGCCCACUUGACCAGGAACCACUUUGACCAGGGACCGCUCUGUAUCAAAAGGGUUACGAAUCAGUUUUUGGUCAACUUUAGAUUCGGUUUAGUUAUUUGGGGUGCUGAUUCAGAAAACUGCAUUGGAUAGACACAUCAGCUCUAGUUUCUGAUAAAGAACAUAUGCCAUCCAGUAGUCACCAUCAGAAAACCAUAUUUAAUAAUCUAAAGCUGAUGUGGCCUAUCCAAUGCCAUUGUCAGGUUUGCAGAAGGGAGUGGAAAUAAAUUAAUAAAAUAAAUAAAUAAAUAAAGAGGAAGGAGGUUCGCGGACCGGAUUUUUGUUCUUGUGAACCACUGCUGGGCUGCAGCCCAAAGAUUAAGAACUAUUGACACAAUGCAAUCAUAGCACCAUGUUUCUUAUUACUAUAAUUUAAUCCUGAGGUAUGUAUUUUGAUGAGGCAAUAGAGCUUUCUGUUUGAGCAUUCUAAAUACUUCUUCUAAACGAUAAAUCCCAAGAUUCCUUCCAAACUGCCCUUAUAUCCCAGAAUCUGAUGCCAGAUUAUCUGUUUAUCCCACUUUAAAGCAGAUAAUCUGGGAUCGGAACCUGGAAUAUAGGGGCAGUGUGGAAGGGGCCUCAGUCAGCCUUCCAUAUCCCCAGAUUCCACCAUUAAUGGCUUGAAAAUAUAUAUUUUAAAUCCUAUAGACAAACCUUGAUUUUACAAUUUUAUAUAAGGGACACCAUUAUAUUGUGUAGUUGUAUAUAAUGAAACUUGAGCAUCCACAGAUUUUGGUAUUCACUGGGAAACCUGGAACAAAACCCCAGUGGAUGCCAUGGGCCCAUUGUAAUUGUGUAGUGUAAAAGGGCCGGUGUCUGAUCAGAGGUCUGUGAGAGAACAUCAUGGAUAAGCAAUUCUUUUUGACCUUGGUUCCAAACAUUACAAUUGUAUCUGCUCUCCAAUACUGUCUCUAGAAAU
ensembl:lncRNA